AAAUAUGGUCAUUUAAAAUCUUAGAUGGUCAGUGACUCAUUACAGAUUGCAUUAUGGAAACACGUUGUGGUCUGUCACGGUCUUGUUACCAGGGUGCCAUAAACUGAUUUAAGGAUUUAUAGACACAGAUUAACUUUGUCAUGUGUAUACAUGGCAGUGUGCCACCCUUUAAGUUGGAUAGGUGCAUACUUAUAUAUGGAUUGCAGGCACAGACUGCAGUAUUGUGGGAUCUAUAUGCAUUAAGCAGAGCUGUUUCCACAAAUUAGUUUAUAUAGUGUUGAAAGUGUCAACAAAAAAGGAAUGAUAUUGUGGGCUUUAAAAAUAGGAAAAAAAAAAAGGGAAAAACAAACGCAUCCACAUUCUUUUUUUCUUCCAACGGUUUGCUCCUAUGACUAACGCAUGAUACACAAGUCCUAAAAAUAAA